rnacentral:rRNA from 1 species
UAUGUGAUCGUCUCUCGCAUAUCAAUAAGCGGAGGAAAAGAAACUAACAAGGAUUCCCCUAGUAACGGCGAGUGAAGCGGGAAGAGCUCAAAUUUGAAAUCUUAAAGGGUUUCCCUUUACGAAUUGUAGUUUAAAGAAGUGUUUUCUGUUGAGGUUUUGGUAAAAGUUCUUUGGAAUAGGACAUCAUAGAGGGUGAGAAUCCCGUAUUUGACCUUUACUUUCAACUUUGUGAUACACUUUCAAAGAGUCGGAUUGCUUGGGAAUGCAGUCCAAAAUGGGUGGUAAAUUUCAUCUAAAGCUAAAUAUUGGCGAGAGACCGAUAGCGAACAAGUACCGUGAGGGAAAGAUGAAAAGAACUUUGAAAAGAGAGUUAAACAGUACGUGAAAUUGCCAAAAGGGAAGCGUUUGACACCAGUGUUGUUUUUCUGAAAAUCAAUUAAAGAACUGUUUAUGCUAAGUUGUUUAGACUUUAUCAGCUAACUGUUUAGUUUUUGAGCUUUUCUUUAAUGCACUUUUCAGUUAACAAGUCAACAUCAAUUUCUUUUGCUGUAAAAAAGCUUGAGGAAGGUGGCUUGAGAUUCGUCUUAAGUGUUUAUAGCCUCUUGCCUAUGCAGUCGGAGAGAUUGAGGUCUGCAGCGUAGAUCCUUCGGGGUUAGAUACAUUUGUGCUAAGUUAUAGCUUUUUAUAGACAACUUGUUGGCUAUGAUUUGUCUUGUAGCUUACUCGCUUAUGUUAUUUUACCUACGCUUAGGAUGGUUGAAGAUAUGCGCGACACG